rnacentral:ribozyme from 1 species
UACACACACAUAUAUAUAUAUAUGUAUGCCAAGAGCCCCGAAUCGAUCGACACAUGAUAAUAAUAACAACAACAACGAAGAAGAGGAACAGGAGGAAAUGUUUGUGGAUCCCUACUUCACUUUUGAAUAUUCCACCGCUAGAGAAUGGGGAGGACCCACCAGGGGUGGAAGACUGCCAGAGC